rnacentral:rRNA from 1 species
AAUUUAUUUAUCCAUAUUGAACCCUUUAAUUGUACUGAGAACUUCUAUACUAUAUAGAAUUUUUUAUGCUAAAACUAGUAACAAGAGAUACCCCUCUCCCUAGUGUAAAUGUAAGUCAGCAAGAACCCAUCACUGACAACUAACAGAUUUAAACAAAAGUAGUAACUCCACAAGAAAACCCCACUUUUUCUCCUGUUAACCUAACACAAGAACACUUCAAGAAAGAUUAAAAGAAAAAGAAGGAACUCGGCAAAACCUAGCCCCGCCUGUUUACCAAAAACAUCGCCUCUUGAUUACCUCUAUAAGAGGUCUUGCCUGCCCAGUGACUCUGUUCAACGGCCGCGGUACCCUAACCGUGCGAAGGUAGCGUAAUCACUUGUUUUCUAAAUAAAGACCAGUAUGAAAGGCGUCACGAGGGUUAAACUGUCUCCUCUUUCUAAUCAGUGAACCUAAUCUUCCCGUGAAGAAGCGGGAAUUACCCCAUAAGACGAGAAGACCCUGUGGAGCUUAAAACAUCAUAACACUGCUAACAAAUACCAAUAUUCAGAUACCCCCUCCCUCAAAGCACGAUGAUUAUAAGUUUUUGGUUGGGGUGACCGCGGAGAAAAAUUAAACCUCCACUAUGAAAAGAGCCCUCCUUAACAAUAAGCUACAACCUUAUGUAUCAACAAAUUGACAUUAUUGACCCAACAAAUUGAUCAACGAACCAAGUUACCCCAGGGAUAACAGCGCAAUCCACUUUGAGAGCUCUUAUCGACAAGUGGGCUUACGACCUCGAUGUUGGAUCGGGAUAUCCUAGUGGUGCAGCCGCUACUUAAGGUUCGUUUGUUCAACGAUUAAAAU